ACCCCCAUACUCGCCGAGGUGGCCACGCCCACUGCCCUCGGCGUCUCGGGAGCGGCGUCUGCCGGCCUGCUCUGCCUGUGCGCCUGCGCAAGCUGCGGCGUAUUCGCUUCCCGUUUUGUUUGGCCCUGACCGCGCGCCGUCCAAGGCUCCACUGGUUGCCGUAGAGACCGGCGAGCGCUGGGCGUGUAAGCGCUGAGGACCGAGUAGCUGCGACCCGUGGCUUCUGGGGACCUGAGCGUCAUGUCUUUCCGCGACCUCCGCAAUUUCACCGAGAUGAUGAGAGCCCUGGGAUACCCUCGCCAUGUCUCUAUGGAAAACUUCCGAAAACCCAAUUUUGAACUUGUGUCUGAAGUGCUUCUCUGGCUUGUGAAAAGAUACGAGCCCCAGACUGACAUCCCGCUUAAUGUGGACACUGAACAGGACCGAGUUUUCUUCAUUAAGGCAAUUGCCCAGUUCAUGGCCACCAAGGCACAUAUAAAACUCAACACUAAGAAGCUUUAUCAAGCAGAUGGGUAUGCAGUGAAAGAACUGUUGAAGAUCACAUCCGUCCUUUAUAAUGCUAUGAAGUCCAAGGGGAUGGAGGGCUCUCAGAGAGUGGAGGAAGACGUUAGCAAAUUCAAGUUUGAUCUCAGCUCAAAGAUUGCAGAUUUGAAGGCAGCCAGGCAGCUUGCAUCUGAAAUCACCUCCAAAGGAGCAUCUCUGUAUGACUUGCUCGGCAUGGAAGUAGAGUUGAGGGAAAUGAGGACAGAAGCCAUUGCCAGACCUUUGGAAAUAAACGAGACUGAAAGAGUGAUGAGAAUCGCGAUAAAGGAGGUUUCGACACAGGUUCAGAAGACUAAAGACCUGCUCAAUAAUGUGGCCUCUGAUGAAGCUAAUUUAGAAUCCAAAAUUGAAAAGAGAAAAUUAGAACUGGAAAGAAAUCGGAAGCGACUGGAGACUCUGCAGAGUGUCAGGCCAUGCUUUAUGGAUGAGUAUGAGAAGGUUGAGGAGGAAUUACAAAAGCAGUAUGACAUUUAUCUGGAGAAAUUUCAAAAUCUGACUUACCUGGAAAAACAGCUUGAAGACUACCAUAGGAUGGAGCAAGAAAGAUUUGAGGAGGCUAAAAACACUCUCUGCCUGAUACAGAACAAGCUCAAGGAGGAAGAGAAGCGCCUGCUCAAGAGUGGAAGUAAUGAUGACCCGGACAUAGACAUCCAGGAGGACGAUGAAUCCGACAGUGAGUUGGAAGAGAGGCAGCUGUCCAAGCCUCGGACAGCCAUGGAGGUGCUCAUGCAAGGUUUUUAUGACUUCUCCAUGCUUUCGUUGUUCUCAGGAAGACCCGGCAAACGCAUUGUGGGCACAAUGCAAGGUGGAGACUCCGAUGACAUUACGGAAGCAGCACCAGCUCUGUUAGGUAAAUGCAAGACUUCCAGCUCCAGGAAGCAGGAGGAUUCGGAGGACAGUGAAAUUGACAUGGAAGAUGAUGAUGAGGAGGAUGAGGAUUUGGAAGAUGAGAGCAUUGCUCUCUCGCCAACCAAGCCCAAUCAAAGGGUCCAGAAACCUGAACCGCUGGAGGACAGUGACAACGACUUCUGACCUUCUUGCUAAGGGACCCAGGCAGAUUAAAAUCCUCAGUUGUGUAGCUAGUACAAGUGAUCUAAAUGUGCUUCAUAGCAGACUUCUUCCUCCAGUCUAGGAUCCAGCCAAAGAUCUUGCAUUAAGGUAGAUCUCUACUAAGUUAAUUCACACUUUCUGCGACCUUCGGUGUUUUUCAUGACGUUGAUGUUUCUGAUGAGGUCAGGUCAUUUAUUUUGCAGAAUAUCCAUUAGUUUGGAUUUUUUUCUAAUUGUUCCUUCAUGAUUAGAAUCAAGCAAACGUUUUUUGACAAGAAGACUACAUCAGAGACGACUCUGUGGUGCAUCAGACUGGGGGCACAUGACGUCCACUUGUCCCAUUAUUAGCGAUGUCCAAUUCUGUCACUUCUGUUGAGACUGCAUUGGCCAGAUUUUAGAUUAAGCUGUGGGAAUUGGUGCCACAUAGAGGCUCAGCUUGCCGGUCUCCUCCAUAGGGAAGCUGUGGCCACAGCAGUGGCUUUGGAAGCCUAAUAAGGAAGGACAUCACUGCCGAGCGCAGUGGCUCACGCCUCUAAUCCCAGCCCUUUGGGAGGCUGAGGUGGGUGGAUCACUUGAGGUCAGGAGUUCCAGACCAGCCUGGGCAACAUGGAGAAACCCCAUCUCAGUAUAACAAUACAAAAAGUAGCCAGGCAUAGUGGUGGGCACUUGUAAUCCCAGCUACUGGGGAGGAUGACGUGAAUCCUGGGCAGGAGAAUCACAUGAGAAUCACAUGGGAGGCAGAGGCUGCAGUGAGCCGAAGUUGCAUCACUGCACUCCAGCCUGGGCAACAAGAGUGAGACUCUUAAAAAAUUCUCUUGUCUCUGUUUCUAGAAUCCUAGAAUUAAAACUUUCAAUUUUUCUUCACAAUUUUUCCAUAAUGUUUUCGUGUCUGUAAGGAUGAUGCCCUAAAACCUUCUUCUUGAGAAAAGAAAGAGGGGUCCCCUCUGUCGCCCCUGCCAAACGCAUGCUCCUCACAGGCUUGAGGUGAUUUUAACCAGAAGGAAGUAGCUGCAGAGGAAAUUGGGAGCAUUUUAUCCCAGCGGGGAGGACCCAGCAGAGACUCUGCUGUUCCAGGAUGCAGGCCCUCAGCAGCCAUUCAAGGUUGGCACCCAAGACGGGGACAGAGCUGCAUUCUGGAAAGGUCUCUGGCCAGCAGUGUGAGAGGAUGGACUGAAGUGGAGGCUGCCAUGGGGAUGGAGGAGUCUUAGAACCUGCUCCACAUGAAGUAUGAGUAUUAUGUCCAGAUGCCACCCAGGGGCCGAAUCAUGGGAAUCAGGGAAGGACAGACAGAUCCAUGAGGGCUUUCACCUGCUCGGCUGGGGAGCCCGUGCCGUGGCCCUGGCCGGCCUCCCUGCCGGAAUGCACCUCCUGCUUCCUCAUGGAGUCGGGCAUUACCUCCAGGAGCUGUGAAGAGACGGUCUGAACCUGCUGCCUGCCAUACCAGCAACCUGGGACAGGUGAGCAAGCCACCAGGAAUGGGGCCGGGGAUCCCCUCUUCCUCCUUCCCCAGCCUUUGUGUGGUCCACUGGCCUGGCCUCUGAGAACGGGCUGGAAGGGCUGUUUGUUUCUGGAUGGUGGCAGUGAUCACACAAAAUACAGGUAGAUGAGAACUGGGGCCCCUGCCCUGCCACUUACCAGCUAGGUGACCAUGGGCAGGCUGAGUCACCUCUCUGCAUCUUGGUGUCUUCAUUUGUGACCUGGAAAUGGUUACAAAUGAGGUUACAAGUAACUUCGCUCAAAAGGAGGGAGGAAUGAAAGAAGCCACUCUGUUGGAACAUGUGGGAAAAAGAAAAAAAAAAAAAAGAAAAGCCACUCUAGGAAUACUACACUGUGUGAUUCAGUUCUGACUUAACAUUCUGGAGAAGGCAAAAGGAAGGAGACAGGAAGAGAGUGAAAGAAAGGGUCAGUGGGGGCCGGGGUUGGAGGAGGGAUGAAUUGGUGGAGCACGGAUGAUUCCUAGGUCAGUGACACCACUCUGCAGGGCACUACAGUGGUAGGUCCGUGUCGUUUUCAUGAUACAUCUGUCCAGACCCACAGAAUGUACAACUCCGAGAGUGAGUGAGCCCAUGGCUGGGCACAGUGGCUCACACCUGUAAUCCACACUUUGGGAGACUGAGGUGGAAGGUUGCUUGAGCCCAGGAGUUUGAGACCAGCUCGGGCAACAUAGUGCAAACCCAUCUCUCAGAAGGUUUUUUUCACAUUAGCUGAAUGUAGGGUGUGUGCCUAUAGUCCUAGCUACUUGGGAGGCCAAGGCAGCAGGAUUGCUUGAGCCCAGGAGGUCGAAGCUGCAGUGAGCCAUGCUCACGCCAUGGCACUCCAGCCUGGGGAACAGAGCAAGACCCCAUCUCUAAGGGAAAAAAAAAACAAAGCAGAAACCUCUUAACUUCUUGCCACUGAAUUAAAGCAAAAAGAAAAAAAGGAGUGAGCCAGAGUAUAAACUAUGGGUAUUGGGUGAUGGUGACAUGUCUGUAUAGGUGUAUUGAUUGUAAUCAGUGGACCACUGUGGCAGGGGACAGUGACAGUGGCAGAGUCUAGGUGGGGGCAGGCAUGGAGUGCAUGGGAAGUCUCUGUACUGUCCCAUCAAUUUUUCUGUAAGCCUCGCCUGGUGCAGUGGCUCAUGCAUGUAAUCCCAGCACUUUGGGAGGCCAAGGUGGGCACAUCACUUGAGGUCAGGAGUUUGAGACCAGCCUGGCAGAUAUGGUGAGACCCUGUCUCUACUAAAAAUACAAAAAUUAGCCAGGUGUGGUAGUGGGUGCUUGUAAUCCCAGCUGCUUGGGAGGCUGAGGCAUGAGAAUCACUUGAACGUGGGAGGUGGAAGCUGCAGUGAGCUGAGAUCACCCCACUGCACUCCAUCCGGGAGGACAGAGCGAGACUCCGUGAGCCUAAAAUUGCUCUACAAGGUAAAGCUUAUUAAUCAGAAAAAGGCAGUAAAAGAAAGAAGGAGGAGGAGUCAAAAAAGAGAAAAUGCUGGUUCUCAGAGCAGCUGUUUUUCUUACUACGUUCCUGGGGUUUCCUGGGAUCUCCUGGGAGCCCAGGAGCUCCUGGCAUCCCAGCAGCGCUGUCCACCCUCUGCUGCUGGGGAUGGUGAUGCAGAGAUGCCAAGAGGCAAAGCCAAGGCCCCCCACUCACAUUUUCCUCCUUGUUCCCAAGGCUGGUCUCUCCCCACCUCGACAGUCCUCCCACAGCCAAGGUGGACACUGAGGCGCCAAGCUCACCCCCACCCACCCUGCUCCCUUCCUCACCGGGCACCCUGGCCACAGCAGCCCCUCCAGCAGGGCCCCAGGAACUCAGCCCUCCACCAGGGCCCCAGGGGCUCAGCCCUCCGUCGUCCACAGUUCUAGGAGGAAAAAACACAAUGUAGUCAGCGGAGGUGACGGCCCACUGCUGCUAAUGGCAGCUGUGCAUUCACAAUAACCCCAGGUAUUGUCACUGCAUGGAGAAGCAGGUCAGACCCCAGCUGUCCACAGGGCAUUUCCCUGGUUCUCAGUGUUUAGCUUAAGAGCUUGCCGUCUGGCCAGGUGAGGUGGCUAACACUAGUAAUCCCAGCACUUUGGGAGGCUGAGGAGGGUGGAUCACCUGAUAUUAGGAGUUCAAGACCAGCCUGGCCAACACGGAGAAACCCCAUCUCUACUAAUAAUACAAAAAUGAGCCGGGUGUGGUGGUGGGCGCCUGUAAUCCCAGCUACUCGGGAGGCUGAGGCAGGAGAAUCACUUGAACCCAGGACGUAGAAGUUGCAGUGAACCAAGAUCGUGCCACUGCACUCCAGCCUGGGUGACAGUGAGGCUCCGUUUCAAAAAAACAGCUUUCUAUCUGCAGCCCUGGGGUUUAGCAGGCUCCCUGACCUUGGAUUUACAGUGAGGAGCCUGGCGUUUUAACAUAGGUAAUGCUUUUUACCUGGAAAAUGCUAAAAGAAGCUUAGCAAUAAGUAAAAUAGCAUUUUUUCAGGCAUUUGGAUCAUGGUGUUGAAGAGGUGAGGAGGUUGAUGGCACUUAGGCCAGCUGAACUAAUCUGGAACAUUAGGAGCGGGCCAGGGCACGGCCAGUCUCCUUAUGCUGCCCCAGAUCCUGUUGGCUCUUCCCAUUCUUGUAUUCUUGUAAGCUUGUAAGUAUCAAAACCAAGAGGGAUUAAAAAAAAGAUGGGAUUUUGGGCUAGGCACAGGGGAUCAUGCCCUCCAUCCCAGCACUUUGGGAGGCUGAGGUAGGAGGAUCACUUGAACCCAGGAGUUUGAGACCAGCCUGGGCAAAGUAGUGAGAACUUGGCUCUACAAAAUAAAAAUUUUGAAAUUAGUUGGGCAUGAUGCUGCACGCCUGUAGUCCCAGCUACUGGGUAGGUUGAGGUGAGAGGACUGCUUGAACCUGGGCGGUUGAUGCUGCAAUGAGCAGAGAUUGUGCCAUUGCACUCCAGCCUGGGCAAAAGAGUGAGACCCUGUCUCAGAAAUAAAAAAGAUGGAAUUUGGAUUGACAUUGCCUUGUGUGUAUGUGUUCAUAUGGGUAAUUUGAGGCCCUUUUUUAGAUCCUUUGGUAAAACUGUAUUUUUUCUCAUCUCAAUCUUGCCAGUUCCUUUUUUGUAUCUAGGUAUUUUUUUAAAAAUUUCUUUUUUUUAGAUGGAAUCUCAUUCUGCUGCCAGGCUGGAGUAUAGUGGCAUGAUCUCAGCUCUCUACUAAAAUAUAAAAAUUAGCCAUGCAUGGUGGUGCGUGACCGUAAUCCCAGCUAUUGGGGAGGCUGAGGCAGGAGAAUCAGUUGAAUGUGGGAGGUAGAGGCUACAGUGAGAUCAUGCCACUGCACUCCAGCCUGGGUGACAGAGUGAGACUCCACCUCAAAACAAAACAAAAAAAAGAGAGAGUUUUCAGAAGUGAAAAGAUAAAAAUUAUUCUUGCUGAAGUAAUCUGUUUUUUGGGUUUUUUUUUUUUUCUUUUUUUGAGAAGGAGUUUCACUCUGUCACCCAGACUGGAGUGCAGUGGUGCAAUCUUGACUCAAUGCAACCUCUGCCUCCUGGGUUCAAUCGAUUCUUCUGCUUCAGCCUCCAGAGUAGCUGGAACUACAGGCACUUGCCACCACGCCCGGCUAAUUUUUGUAUUUUUAGUAGAGAUGGGGUUUCACCAUGUUGGCCAGGAUGGUCUUGAUCUCUUGACCUCCCAAAGUGCUGGGAUUACAGGUGUGAGCCAUUGUGCCCAGCCUAAAAUGGUUUUUGUUGUAUGAUGAAUAUCGUUGAUAUAAAAGAUGAUUGGGAUUUUUGUUUAUCUCAUGUCCCAUCAACAUAUUAAAUAUUCAUGUUGGUUCUCCUCAUUUUCCAGUUAAUUUUCUUCAGAUUUUCAAAUUACUUCAGCACAGCUGGGCACAGUAGCUCAUGUCUGUAAUCCCAGAACUUUGGGAGGCCAAGGCAGGCGGAUCACUUAAGGUAGGAGUAAACCCCAUCUCUCAAAUUGCAGAAGUGAGCUGGGUAUGGUGGUGUGUGCCUGUAAUCCCAGCUAUUGGGGAGGUUGAGGCAGGAGAAUCGCUUAAGAGGAAGUUUCAGUGAGUCAGGAUCACACCACUGCACUCCAGCCUGGGCGGCAGAGCAAGACUCCAUCUCAAAAAACAAACAAACAAAAAACACAAAAACAAGUUAUUUCAGCAAGAAUAGUUUUUAUUUCUUCAUUUCUGAAAAUUAAAACUCUUUUUAUCAGCCUAUGAAAGAUAUUUUCCAGCUGUACUUCACAUCAAACAGAACAUUUAUUUUCAGGUGGACUAAGGAGUUAAAAUUGUAAACACAAAACCAUAAAAGCACAAUAAGAAAAUAGGAGAGAAUAUUUAGAAAUAUUAUUUGGGUACAGAAGCCUUUUUACAGUGGUACGUAGAAGCCAGAACUCUCAGCCUGGGCAAUAUAGUGACACACUCUCUCUACAGAAAAACAAAUAGUUUGGCUGGCGGUAGGCACCUGUGCCCUAGCUAUGGGGAGGCUGAGGUAGGAGGACCCCUUGAGUCCAGGAGGCUGAGGCUGCAGUGAGCUAUGAUUGUGCCACUGCACUCCAGCUUGAGUGACAGAGCAAGACCUUGGCUUAAAAAAAAAAAAAAAAAAAAAGCAGAAU